rnacentral:lncRNA from 1 species
UGGACCCUACCUAUGGAGAAUUUGUGUUAACUCAUCCCAACAUCAAAAUCCCAACCUUGGGUAAGAUCUAUUCUUUCAAUGAAGGGAACUACGAUCUUUGGGACGACAAGUUGCAGAAGUACAUCGAUCAUCUCCGACAACCGACGUCCUCAGGCAAGUCUUACUCCGGACGCUACAUCGGUUGUUUGGUAGGGGAAAUUCAUAGAAUGUUGCUUGUUGGAGGGAUAUAUGGAAACCCUGCAAAUGUUAACAAUAAAAAUGGGAACCUUAGAUUGUUGUACGAGUGUGCGCCAAUGAGCUAUCUGGUCGAACAAGCGGGUGGGAAGGCAAUAGAUGGUCAGAGGAGAAUACUCGACAUCGAACCGACCAAG